rnacentral:rRNA from 1 species
GACGAACGCUGGCGGCGUGCUUAACACAUGCAAGUCGAACGGAAAGGCCCCUUUGGGGGUACUCGAGUGGCGAACGGGUGAGUAACACGUGAGUAACCUGCCCUUGACUUCGGGAUAACUUCAGGAAACUGGGGCUAAUACCGGAUAGGAAUCCUUGCUGCAUGGUGGGGGUUGGAAAGCUUCGGCGGUUUUGGAUGGACUCGCGGCUUAUCAGCUUGUUGGUGGGGUAGUGGCUUACCAAGGCUUUGACGGGUAGCCGGCCUGAGAGGGCUACCGGCCACAUUGGGACUGAGAUACGGCCCAGACUCCUACGGGAGGCAGCAGUGGGGAAUAUUGCACAAUGGGCGGAAGCCUGAUGCAGCAACGCCGCGUGCGGGAUGACGGCCUUCGGGUUGUAAACCGCUUUCAGCAGGGGCGAAGCUUGUGGUGACGGUACCUGCAGAAGAAGCACCGGCUAACUACGUG